GUAAGGAAUAUUGGUCAAUGGGCGCAAGCCUGAACCAGCCAUGCCGCGUGGAGGAUGAAGGCCCUCUGGGUUGUAAACUUCUUUUAUGAGGGAAGAAAUGCAGUUAUUCUUAACUGUUUGACGGUACCUUAGGAAUAAGCACCGGCUAACUCCGUGCCAGCAGCCGCGGUAAUACGGAGGGUGCAAGCGUUAUCCGGAUUCACUGGGUUUAAAGGGUGCGUAGGCGGGCAGGUAAGUCAGUGGUGAAAUCUUGGGGCUUAACCCCGAAACUGCCGUUGAUACUAUCUGUCUUGAAUACCCGGGAGGUGAGCGGAAUAUGUCAUGUAGCGGUGAAAUGCUUAGAUAUGACAUAGAACACCAAUUGCGAAGGCAGCUCACUACAGGGACAAUUGACGCUGAGGCACGAAAGCGUGGGGAUCAAACAGGAUUAGAUACCCUUGUAGUCC
rnacentral:rRNA from 1 species